UUAUGUUUUGUUUUUCUUUUAAUCCAUUGAUUUUCAAAAUUUCAUAACUCUUUUAUUUGGAAUCACAAAAAUAUGGAACCAAUUGCAAAAUUUUUCUCUUAAAUUCUAGUUUCAUAAUCUGAUUUUUAAUUAUUUUUGUGAUUCCAUUUAAUAUUUUUUGUGAAUUAUUUUGUUUUUGAUUGUUUUUAAUUCAUUUAAAA
rnacentral:lncRNA from 1 species